rnacentral:rRNA from 1 species
AGUGAACGCUGGCGGCAGGCCUAACACAUGCAAGUCGAACGGCAGCACAAGGGAGCUUGCUCUCUGGGUGGCGAGUGGCGGACGGGUGAGGAAUACAUCGGAAUCUGCCUAUUUGUGGGGGAUAACGUAGGGAAACUUACGCUAAUACCGCAUACGACCUACGGGUGAAAGUGGAGGACCUUCGGGCUUCUCGCAGAUAGAUGAGCCGAUGUCGGAUUAGCUAGUUGGCGGGGUAAAGGCCCACCAAGGCGACGAUCCGUAGCUGGUCUGAGAGGAUGAUCAGCCACACUGGAACUGAGACACGGUCCAGACUCCUACGGGAGGCAGCAGUGGGGAAUAUUGGACAAUGGGCGCAAGCCUGAUCCAGCCAUGCCGCGUGGGUGAAGAAGGCCUUCGGGUUGUAAAGCCCUUUUGUUGGGAAAGAAAAGCAGUCGGUUAAUACCCGAUUGUUCUGACGGUACCCAAAGAAUAAGCACCGGCUAACUUCGUGCCAGCAGCCGCAGUAA